UGGAUGACAUACAUCAGAUGCAGGCAC
rnacentral:piRNA from 1 species